AUGGAGAAAUCCCCUCAAAAUUUCUCAUCGUUUAGGUAUUCUCCUCAAAAUAACUUUGAAUCAACAAGCGACAAGGAAAAGAGUGCAACAAACAGGAAUUUCAAUCUUGAGAAUAAGGGGACUAAUAACCAAGGUGAAAGGACAAACUCUAAAUCAUACACAUUUUCUACACCAAAGAGCAUAACGCUCAUUACAGUCUUAACACACUAUUGCCUAUAA